rnacentral:rRNA from 1 species
CACGUAGGCACCAAGCGUUAUCCGGAAUUAUUGGGCGUAAAGCGUCCGCAGGCGGCCUUGAAAGUCUGUUGUUAAAGCGUGGAGCUCAACUCCAUUUCAGCAAUGGAAACUACAAGGCUAGAGUGUGGUAGGGGCAGAGGGAAUUCCCGGUGUAGCGGUGAAAUGCGUAGAUAUCGGGAAGAACACCAGUGGCGAAGGCGCUCUGCUGGGCCAUAACUGACGCUCAUGGACGAAAGCCAGGGGAGCGAAAGGG